rfam:Microbacterium sp. C448 genomic scaffold, scaff247
AGUUUCUUCGCGCGGGAGCUCGACCCGCGACUGCCGUGGUAGUUCAGUUCAUCGAUGAUCAUCGUGACCGGUUCGGGGUCGAGCCGAUCUGCCGCGUGCUCACUGAGCACGGGGUCAAGAUCGCCCCG